rnacentral:tRNA from 1 species
GGGGAUUUAGCUCAGUGGUAGAGCACUUGCCUAGCAAGCGCAAGGCCCUGGGUUCAGUUCCCA